rnacentral:rRNA from 1 species
UACGUAGGCGGCAAGCGUUAUCCGGAUUUAUUGGGUGUAAAGGGCGUGUAGGCGGGAAUGCAAGUCAGAUGUGAAAACUAUGGGCUCAACCCAUAGCCUGCAUUUGAAACUGUAUUUCUUGAGUGCAGGAGAGGAGAGUGGAAUUCCUAGUGUAGCGGUGAAAUGCGUAGAUAUUAGGAGGAACACCAGUUGCGAAGGCGGCUCUCUGGACUGUAACUGACACUGAGGCACGAAAGCGUGGGGAGCAAACAGG